AGGACGAACGCUGGAGGCACGCUUAAAACAUGCAAGUCGAACGAGAAGCUUUGGUGCUUGCACCGAAGUGGAAAGUGGCGAACGGGUGAGUAACACAUGAGAAACCUGCCUUAAAGAUCGGGACAACUAAUGGAAACGUUAGCUAAUACCGAAUAUCUUCUUCUGAUCACAUGGUCUAAAGAAGAAAGCUCCGGCGCUUUAAGAUGGUCUCGUGUCCUAUCAGCUUGUUGGUGAGGUAAAAGCUCACCAAGGCAACGACGGGUAGCUGGUCUGAGAGGAUGUCCAGCCACAUUGGAACUGAGAUACGGUCCAAACUCCUACGGGAGGCAGCAGUUAGGAAUCUUGCACAAUGGGGAAACCCUGAUGCAGCGAUGCCUCGUGCGGGAUGAAGGUCUUAGGAUUGUAAACCGCUUUCAGUGGGAAGAAGUGACGGUACCACAGAAGAGCCCGGCCAACUAUGUGCCAGCAGCCGCGGU
rnacentral:rRNA from 1 species